rnacentral:rRNA from 1 species
UACGGAGGGUGCAAGCGUUAAUCGGAAUUACUGGGCGUAAAGCGUGCGUAGGUGGUUCGUUAAGUCCGUUGUGAAAGCCCCGAGCUUAACUUGGGAAUUGCGCUCGAAACUACGUGGCUGGAGUGUGGCAGAGGAAGGUGGAAUUCCACGUGUAGCGGUGAAAUGCGUAGAGAUGUGGAGGAACACCGAUGGCGAAGGCAGCCUUCUGGGCCAACACUGACGCUCAUGCACGAAAGCGUGGGGAGCAAACAGG